rnacentral:rRNA from 1 species
AGUGGCGGACGGCUGAGUAACGCGUAGGAAUCUGCCCGAAACUGGGGAAUAGCCACGAGAAAUCGUGGGUAAUACCCCAUGGUCUCCGCCUUUGGUGGAGUAAAGAGUGUAACUACUCGGUUUCGGAUGAGCCUGCGUCCUAUCAGGUAGUUGGUGGGGUAAUGGCCUACCAAGCCAAUGACGGGUAGCUGGCCUCAUGAGGGUGGUCAGCCAGAGGGGGACUGAGACACGGCCCCCACUCCUACGGGAGGCAGCAAUUAGGAAUAGUCGGCAAUGGGCGAAAGCCUGACCGCGCAAUACCGCGUGUAGGACGAAGCUCGAAAGAGUGUAAACUACUGUGGCGAGGGAAGAAGUCCUGCAUUUUGCGGGAUUGACGGUACCUCGCUAGAAAGGAGCCGCUAACUUCGUGCCAGAAGCGUCGGUAAUACGAGGGCUCCGAGCGUUAUCCGGUGUUACUGGGCGUAAAGUGUCGUGUAGGCGGCUGUGUAAGUUAUCUUUCAAAGCUUCCGGCUCAACCGGAAAAAGGGAGAUAAUACUGCAUAGCUAGAGUCUUCUUAAGGGAGAAUGGAACCAAGGGAGGAGUAGUGAAAUGCGUUGAUACCCUUGGGAACACCAGUGGCGAAGGCGAUUCUCUGGAAGAAGACUGACGCUGAGACACGAAAGCUAGGGGAGCGGAGCAGAUUAGAGACCUGCGUAGUCCUAGCCGUAAACG